GACGAACGCUGGCGGCGUGCUUAACACAUGCAAGUCGAACGGAAAGGCCCUGCUUUUGUGGGGUGCUCGAGUGGCGAACGGGUGAGUAACACGUGAGUAACCUGCCCUUGACUUUGGGAUAACUUCAGGAAACUGGGGCUAAUACCGGAUAGGAGCUCCUGCUGCAUGGUGUGGGUUGGAAAGUUUCGGCGGUUGGGGAUGGACUCGCGGCUUAUCAGCUUGUUGGUGGGGUAGUGGCUUACCAAGGCUUUGACGGGUAGCCGGCCUGAGAGGGUGACCGGCCACAUUGGGACUGAGAUACGGCGCAGACGCCUACGGGAGGCAGCAGUGGGGAAUAUUGCACAAUGGGCGGAAGCCUGAGGCAGCAACGCCGCGUGCGGGAUGACGGCCUUCGGGUGGUAAACCGCUUUCGCCUGUGACGAAGCGUGAGUGACGGUAAUGGGUAAAGAAGCACCGGCUAACUACGUG
rnacentral:rRNA from 1 species